rnacentral:tRNA from 1 species
ACUAUUUUGGCAGAUAAGUGCGUUGGAUUUAGAAUCUAUUAAUGUAGGGUUUACCUUACAAGUAGUA